rnacentral:rRNA from 1 species
AUACGUAGGGGGCGAGCGUUGUCCGGAAUUAUUGGGCGUAAAGGGUUCGCAGGCGGCCAAAUAAGUCAGAUGUGAAAUCCCACGGCUUAACCGUGGUAAGCAUUUGAAACUGUAUGGCUUGAGUUAAGGAGAGGAAAGUGGAAUUCCUAGUGUAGCGGUGAAAUGCGUAGAUAUUAGGAAGAAUACCAGUGGCGAAGGCGACUUUCUGGACUUAUACUGACGCUGAGGAACGAAAGCGUGGGGAGCAAACAGGAUUAGAUACCCUAGUAGUCCACGCUGUAAACGAUGACAACUAAAUAUUGCCGCGAGGCAGUGUUGAAGCUAACGCAUUAAGUUGUCCGCCUGGGGAGUACGGUCGCAAGACUGAAACUCAAAUGAAUUGGCGGGG